GAAACUGGCUGAGGAAGAGGCCAGAACAGCCCAAGCGAAUGGGAAAUUCGUAGCAUAUAAAGACGACUUAAUCAAAGUCACUAAAGAGCGCCAACAUUUUCUGAAGAAUGAGAUUAGACAUUUUCAGGGCAGAGCACAGGAUAAUUUGAUGGCUUAUCGAGACGCUGAGAAUCAGCUAGCCAGGGAAAGGAGAAAGACAGCAGAUCUGCAGAGAAGACUGGAUGCACUGAAUGAAAAGUUGGCUCAGUGUUCCCAGACAUCUUAUUGGGCACUAGAUGCCACUGCUCAGGGAGGUGUUCAGUAUAAUUCAGACAGAUCGGCAGUGGAUCGACACCGCCAAGGGAGACAGCCAGCCUUCAGAGUCCGCAGAGGGAAUCAGAAAUACUUUUACUAAAAUGAUUAAGAAAGUGAAUAUUUGUUAUUGUGAUUAUCACUAUCCUGCAGUAAUAGAAGAGAAAAAUGUACUUCAAGGGUGAAAUAUCGUUUGGUUUAGGUAAAAAUUGCAAAUGUUUCUGGUUGUUAAGGAUUCUGGUUUUAAUACAAAGUGAAUAUUACUUUACAAACAAAAAUGCUUUUGAGAAAAAGUACAUGAAAAUCAAAACAAGGACCAAGUUUUAAAAUAAAAGGUGUAAAAAAUGAACACGCUUAAACGAAUGAAGCUUGAGUAAAUUGAAAUACAAUGUGAAGGCUCCUUUUAAACAAUAUAUACUUUUUGAGAAUGCGAGUGAGUGAAAUGCACACUACUUAUUAGUGCUAAAGUUGUAUACAUUUUCCUUGGCUUCUGUCUGUAGGAAAGGGCUGCAGCUGUUGAUCCCUGCAGAAGAUGAGAUAUUAUGCUAAGUCCGCUUAAAAAAUUCUAGUAUGGGAGCAGGCCACGCCCCCUGAACAGCCUACGUCCCUUGUAGCAGCUCUUCUACCACAAGUCAACAGGAAGCCAGCUAGACCAAUAGCAGCCACUUCAGGUGAGACAAUUCAGGCCAUAACAGUUGAGGUCUUUGUCAACCGACAAAUUGAAAAGCUGUAUCAGUUUUGGUGUUUCAUCAGCAGAUACCCAGUCAAGGAAAGACAUUUUUAAAAAUACCCACAAUCAUGAUCAUAUUAUAUACAGUGAGCUCCAUAAUGUUUGGGACAGAGACAUAUAUUUUUUCUGGAUUUGGCUCUGUACUCAGUCUCAGAAUUGCAAUUAAACAAUGCCCAUGUCGCUAAAGUGCAGCUUCUCAGCAUUUAUUACAGGGUAUUUUAAUCCAUUUUGGUUUCAUCAUGUAGAACUAACAGCCCUUUUAGCACCUGACUAAUCAGAAAACCUGUGAAGUCAUUUAUCCCAAACAUUAUGGUGUCCUGAAAUGGAGGGACUAUGUAUAAAACGUGUUGUAGUUUCUACAUGUUGAAACAUGUUGUUUGAUUAAAAAUCCAAAAUUGUGGAGUACAGACUAAUCAUGAAAGAAUGUGUCACCAACAGUAUGGAGCUCACUGCGUGUGUAUGUGCAUAUAUGUGUAUAUAUAUUUACAGUACAGGCCAAAAGUAAUUGGCCACCUAUAGUAUUAAAAAAAGGAAUGCUGUUAAUAUAUGUGCAUUUAUUGAAUGACAAAUCAUUAGAGUAUAUGUAUACUCAUUUAUUUUCUAAUUUUACUUGCAAUAACACAAAAAGAUGAGUUUUACUUAAAAAAUAAUCCCAGACAUGACUAUAGCCACCUUUGACUUCAAAUACAAUUGAUCAGUAUUGUUUUAUUGGGAGGUGGAGGGGUGGGAAGGACGUGGAGGGGUAAUGAAAGAGUGAAAUUUUACCUACCGUUAGUUU